AGUCGUAACAAGGUUUCCGUAGGUGAACCUGCGGAAGGAUCAUUAGUGAAUAUAGGACGUCCAACUUAACUUGGAGUCCGAACUCUCACUUUCUAACCCUGUGCACUUGUUUGGGAUAGUAACUCUCGCAAGAGAGCGAACUCCUAUUCACUUAUAAACACAAAGUCUAUGAAUGUAUUAAAUUUUAUAACAAAAUAAAACUUUCAACAACGGAUCUCUUGGCUCUCGCAUCGAUGAAGAACGCAGCGAAAUGCGAUAAGUAAUGUGAAUUGCAGAAUUCAGUGAAUCAUCGAAUCUUUGAACGCACCUUGCGCUCCAUGGUAUUCCGUGGAGCAUGCCUGUUUGAGUGUCAUGAAUACUUCAACCCUCCUCUUUCUUAAUGAUUGAAGAGGUGUUUGGUUUCUGAGCGCUGCUGGCCUUUACGGUCUAGCUCGUUCGUAAUGCAUUAGCAUCCGCAAUCGAACUUCGGAUUGACUUGGCGUAAUAGACUAUUCGCUGAGGAAUUCUAGUCUUCGGAUUAGAGCCGGGUUGGGUUAAAGGAAGCUUCUAAUCAGAAUGUCUACAUUUUAAGAUUAGAUCUCAAAUCAGGUAGGACUACCCGCUGAACUUAAGCAUAUCAAUUAAAAGUCG
rnacentral:rRNA from 1 species